UGGGGAAUAUUGGACAAUGGGCGAAAGCCUGAUCCAGCCAUGCCGCGUGUGUGAAGAAGGUCUUCGGAUUGUAAAGCACUUUAAGUUGGGAGGAAGGGCAGUAAGCGAAUACCUUGCUGUUUUGACGUUACCGACAGAAUAAGCACCGGCUAACUCUGUGCCAGCAGCCGCGGUAAUACAGAGGGUGCAAGCGUUAAUCGGAAUUACUGGGCGUAAAGCGCGCGUAGGUGGUUCGUUAAGUUGAAUGUGAAAGCCCCCGGCUCAACCUGGGAACUGCAUCCAAAACUGGCGAGCUAGAGUAGGGCAGAGGGUGGUGGAAUUUCCUGUGUGGCGGUGAAAUGCGUAGAUAUAGGAAGGAACACCAGUGGCGAAGGCGACCACCUGGGCUCAUACUGACACUGAGGUGCGAAAGCGUGGGGAGCAAACAGG
rnacentral:rRNA from 1 species